AUGGGAGAGAUUCAGGUAGAUUUGAACUGUCAUCAUCAAUCAAGACCAAGGAGAAGGCUGCUUUCCAGGAUGUACACAUGGCCUCUGUUUGUUGUUGCUGUUUUGCUUCUUUUAAGAGCUCAACAGAACCCUGUAAUAUACAUGAACAAGUUUCUGGAAGUUAAGAGAUCCCCUCUGAGAAUAUAAAAUAUAUUUCUAUCAAAUCCUUUACAAACUGUUAAUAAUGGCCACAUGGUGCUGAUGGGACAACCUUCACUGCUACAAUCCUUGAAUCACUGCCAUUUAUAUAUUCUACGAACUCAGCAUACUUGGAAAACAACUUGAAAUCAAUUCUACCAAUUAAUAUAUCUUCUAAAAGUUCUGCAACUCUUUGACUUCAUCACAAUUACCCUCCGGUUCAUGUCAAUAAAUAAAA
ensembl:lincRNA